rnacentral:rRNA from 1 species
GGUCAGCGACUUAUAUUCUGUAGCAAGGUUAACCGUAUAGGGGAGCCGCAGGGAAACCGAGUCUUAACUGGGCGUUAAGUUGCAGGGUAUAGACCAGAAACCCGGUGAUCUAGCCAUGGGCAGGUUGAAGGUUGGGUAACACUAACUGGAGGACCGAACCGACUAAUGUUGAAAAAUUAGCGGAUGACUUGUGGCUGGGGGGGAAAGGCCAAUCAAACCGGGAGAUAGCUGGUUCUCCCCGAAAGCUAUUUAGGUAGCGCCUCGUGAACUCAUCUUCGGGGGUAGAGCACUGUUUCGGCUAGGGGGUCAUCCCGACUUACCAACCCGAUGCAAACUACGAAUACCGAAGAAUGUUAUCACGGGAGACACACGGCGGGUGCUAACGUCCGUCGUGAAGAGGGAAACAACCCAGACCGCCAGCUAAGGUCCCAAAGUCAUGGUUAAGUGGGAAACGAUGUGGGAAGGCACAGACAGCCAGGAUGUUGGCUUAGAAGCAGCCAUCAUUUAAAGAAAGCGUAAUAGCUCACUGGUCGAGUCGGCCUGCGCGGAAGAUGUAACGGGGCUAAACCAUGCACCGAAGCUGCGGCAGCGACACUAUGUGUUGUUGGGUAGGGGAGCGUUCUGUAAGCCUGCGAAGGUGACCUGUGAGGGUUGCUGGAGGUAUCAGAAGUGCGAAUGCUGACAUAAGUAACGAUAAAGCGGGUGAAAAGCCCGCUCGCCGGAAGACCAAGGGUUCCUGUCCAACGUUAAUCGGGGCAGGGUGAGUCGACCCCUAAGGCGAGGCCGAAAGGCGUAGUCGAUGGGAAACAGGUUAAUAUUCCUGUACUUGGUGUUACUGCGAAGGGGGGACGGAGAAGGCUAUGUUAGCCGGGCGACGGUUGUCCCGGUUUAAGCAUGUAGGCUGGUUAUCCAGGCAAAUCCGGAUAAUCAAGGCUGAGGUGUGAUGACGAGGCACUACGGUGCUGAAGUAACAAAUGCCCUGCUUCCAGGAAAAGCCUCUAAGCAUCAGGUAACAUUAAAUCGUACCCCAAACCGACACAGGUGGUCAGGUAGAGAAUACCAAGGCGCUUGAGAGAACUCGGGUGAAGGAACUAGGCAAAAUGGUGCCGUAACUUCGGGAGAAGGCACGCUGGUGUGUAGGUGAAGCCCCUGCGGGUGGAGCUGAGACCAGUCGAAGAUACCAGCUGGCUGCAACUGUUUAUUAAAAACACAGCACUGUGCAAACACGAAAGUGGACGUAUACGGUGUGACGCCUGCCCGGUGCCGGAAGGUUAAUUGAUGGGGUUAUCCGUAAGGAGAAGCUCUUGAUCGAAGCCCCGGUAAACGGCGGCCGUAACUAUAACGGUCCUAAGGUAGCGAAAUUCCUUGUCGGGUAAGUUCCGACCUGCACGAAUGGCGUAAUGAUGGCCAGGCUGUCUCCACCCGAGACUCAGUGAAAUUGAACUCGCUGUGAAGAUGCAGUGUACCCGCGGCAAGACGGAAAGACCCCGUGAACCUUUACUAUAGCUUGACACUGAACAUUGAGCCUUGAUGUGUAGGAUAGGUGGGAGGCUUUGAAGCGUGGACGCCAGUCUGCGUGGAGCCAACCUUGAAAUACCACCCUUUAAUGUUUGAUGUUCUAACGUUGGCCCCUUACCGGGGUUGCGGACAGUGUCUGGUGGGUAGUUUGACUGGGGCGGUCUCCUCCCAAAGCGUAACGGAGGAGCACGAAGGUUAGCUAAUCCUGGUCGGACAUCAGGAGGUUAGUGCAAUGGCAUAAGCUAGCUUGACUGCGAGCGUGACGGCGCGAGCAGGUGCGAAAGCAGGUCAUAGUGAUCCGGUGGUUCUGAAUGGAAGGGCCAUCGCUCAACGGAUAAAAGGUACUCCGGGGAUAACAGGCUGAUACCGCCCAAGAGUUCAUAUCGACGGCGGUGUUUGGCACCUCGAUGUCGGCUCAUCACAUCCUGGGGCUGAAGUAGGUCCCAAGGGUAUGGCUGUUCGCCAUUUAAAGUGGUACGCGAGCUGGGUUUAGAACGUCGUGAGACAGUUCGGUCCCUAUCUGCCGUGGGCGCUGGAGAAUUGAGGGGGGCUGCUCCUAGUACGAGAGGACCGGAGUGGACGCAUCACUGGUGUUCGGGUUGUCAUGCCAAUGGCACUGCCCGGUAGCUAAAUGCGGAAGAGAUAAGUGCUGAAAGCAUCUAAGCACGAAACUUGCCCCGAGAUGAGUUCUCCCUGAGACUUUAAGUCUCCUGAAGGAACGUUAAAGACGAUGACGUUGAUAGGCCGGGUGUGUAAGCGCAGCGAUGCGUUGAGCUAACCGGUACUAAUGAACCGUGAGGCUUAACCUU